AUUGAACGCUGGCGGCAUGCCUUACACAUGCAAGUCGAACGGCAGCACGGGUGCUUGCACCUGGUGGCGAGUGGCGAACGGGUGAGUAAUACAUCGGAACAUGUCCUUUAGUGGGGGAUAGCCCGGCGAAAGCCGGAUUAAUACCGCAUACGAUCAACGGAUGAAAGCGGGGGACCUUCGGGCCUCGCGCUAUAGGGUUGGCCGAUGGCUGAUUAGCUAGUUGGUGGGGUAAAGGCCUACCAAGGCGACGAUCAGUAGCUGGUCUGAGAGGACGACCAGCCACACUGGGACUGAGCCACGGCCCAGACUCCUACGGGAGGCAGCAGUGGGGAAUUUUGGACAAUGGGCGAAAGCCUGAUCCAGCAAUGCCGCGUGUGUGAAGAAGGCCUUCGGGUUGUAAAGCACUUUUGUCCGGAAAGAAAUCCUUGGCCCUAAUACGGUCGGGGGAUGACGGUACCGGAAGAAUAAGCACCGGCUAACUACGUG
rnacentral:rRNA from 1 species